GGUCAUGAUCUGGUACCGGCCCCCACAUCUUUCCAGCAGCCACUGUAGAGUCCUGCCCUGUUUCCAGAUGUGCUCUUGGAUGGGUUCGUCUACAGCACCGAGAACAUGACCGGGACUAUGGUCCGCUGCCAGAGAGGAACCUGCAGCUGUCUGAGCUGGAGCUCCAUGGCCCUCCACUCCACCUGGCUGAAGGGUUGGUGGGUGGGCAGCAUCAACAGGAUGGCGUGCGGUCCUGGGGGACACAGGUCCAGACCCCUGAAGAGCUCCCGGGAGACCGUGUCUUGAACAGGAGAGUGGGUGGUCCAACCUGGGGUGUCGACCACAGUCACCUGCUGGAUCACACGACCACAGAGAAGUCAGGAGACACUCUCCUUCAGGGAAGGAAUCGGAGUGUCAAGGAUCUGGUAUUUGCCUGUAGUCCGUGGACAAUUCCAGUUUUCUUGCUGCUUCUAGUCGUGUUCCUGCCAAAGACCUGUCUGCCCAGAAUGUUGUUUCCCACCGAGCUCUUCCCACUUUGUUUCUCACCCAGUAACAGAAGAACCAGCUGGGUCAGAGAUGGUUCUGGAACAUCCAAACACGACCUGUGUUUACACUCAAACAGAUGUUCCCAGUGAAGCACAGAGAGCUUUAAAGAACUUACCACAGAGGCUGGCCAUGGAGAAGCUGUUGGAACAGAAUUAAAUUCAGUUAACGUUCUCUGCGAUGUAACCUUUGUUUUUAAUGUCAUUUGUGUUGCGUCUUCAUGCUGGUUCCAAAGUUCAGAGAGAGACAUUCCUGAGAAAUGACAACAGUCCAUAAAACAAGGAGCUCCAGAGGGAGGAGAAAAAAACUUCACGCUUUUUGUUACUUGAUAAAUAAUGUGCAUUUGGACUGAAAAAGUAUUAAAAUAACUUGAAAUAGAUGUUAAAAACCAGAUUACGGCAACUAUAUAAUAAAAAAUGAAGCAAAGCAUUAUGAAGGUGGGAUUUUGUCCUCUUGACCACCAGAGAAAAAAUGGUUCCAGUCAAAACAGGGUUUUAAAUCCACCAAAAACUACAAUUCCCAGAACUUCACCCCUUCAAACUUAUUACCAUUGAAAAGCGCCAAAUGUCCUCUGCAGAUACCAAAAGGAGUUCAUUGAGAAGUUUCAUUGGUUUGGAGAUAUUCAGGUUUAGAAAUCUCUCAACAGAGGACACAUUUGCAUUGCUGGCAGUCAGGACUUAAUUAAAGAUUCACUUCUAUCCACUCCCUUUCAAGCAAAAAUUCAAACUCUUUUUGACAGUUCCUAUAUUGAAUGGAUUUCAUGUAUCAUGGACUGUAUGGAUGGAUGCAAAUAUGUCUAUUUAUGAUUAGGAGAAAUUAUAAUGGUCUAGAAUUUAGCAUCAUUUACUUUUUUUCAAAUCAAUUCAUGAAUUAAUAUCUUAAAUAGGUUUGAUUUAUCUGUGUAUCAAUUUUUGUCUUUUUUCCCCCUGUUUUACUUACUUAAAAUAAACCAAAAAACCUAAAUGGAGCGCCUCCUAACAUACAGUUUUAUUUAUCUUGUGACUUUAAUCUCUCGUCAAAACAAAUGAGUCUAAAGCAAAAUGACAAAGAUGUGACUGAGGAGGAGGGGCUGAGUGUACAAAUGGAGGAAUGGGACUUAAGUGUUAUUAAGAAAAGAUCCCCAUCAUUUGAUAUUUUAGUUUUAAAAUUCAUUCACAUUCUCAAUUUGAUUUUCGCUCAAUAAAAUGUAAUGUUGGGUGGAGAAGAAUUUAUAAUCUGGUUGGACUUUCUAAGGAAAUAAACACUUGAACACUUUA